CAACAGCAACCUGGCAACAUUUAGCGUUUAUUGUAAGAGAUGGUGAUGAAGUCGCGUUGCCGUGUAAAAAUCCAGUAGAUGGUCAGCGUAACUGUGACAGUACAACCUGGAUGUUCAUGAAUUUAAGAAGUGCAAAAACAGUAACACUCUUUGAACAUGAUCAGUUUCACAAAGAAGCUGGAGCUAAGUUAGGUAGACUGAGCGUUACAGCAAACUGUUCUCUAGUUAUUCAGAAGGUCACAGAUCAGGAUGUUGGUCUGUACAAAUGCAAACGGUUCAUAUCAGGAAACCAACAAGACUCACCUGUUCAUCUUUCUGUUAUUCACAUGACUGAACAAAAAAGCAACGAUAAAGUCAUCUUUUACUGCUACGUGUUCUCAUAUGAAGGCUGUAGGCAUUCAGUGGAGUGGGUCUACGAGGGUGUAAAGUGACAGAUGAAGACAAAAGAGUGCAGCUGUUUCCCUUCAGCCCUCCGUCCUCGGGUUGGUCAUGGUGGUAUGUUUAUGUGACUGUGGGUUUAUCAGCACUCUUAAUUAUCAUAGUGAUCAUCUCAUGGAAGAAAAUGAAAGGAAAUAAAGAACAAAAGGAAGGAAAUAAGGAACCAAGCUUAAGCCCCAAAGAGGCUCAGUCUGGUUCAGAAGCCAGUCACAACACUGCUGAACCUGACGACGGUGUUUCUUAUGCCACCAUCAGCUUUGCCAAGAAGACCCAGAAUAAAGCCAGGGUACCCUGUAAUGGUGCAGAUGAUACUGUGACAUACAGCACUGUAAACGCUUCCUCAUCUUCUGCUGGAUAUUCUUCUUCCAGUGAUCUCUAUUCCAUCAUCAACAAACCAAAGAAAUAUAUGACUGGAUUAUGAUUUCUUUUCUUGUGCACUAUCGUACAUGAAGCCACCGAGAUAACACAGACUCCCUCUAGAGGUGGAGAGGGUGAAAAUAUUCCCAGAUUGAAAAUGCAAUAAAAUGAG
ensembl:lncRNA